GACGAACGCUGGCGGCGUGCUUAACACAUGCAAGUCGAACGGAAAGGCCCUGCUUUUGUGGGGUGCUCGAGUGGCGAACGGGUGAGUAACACGUGAGUAACCUGCCCUGACUUUGGGAUAACUUCAGGAAACUGGGGCUAAUACCGGAUAGGAGCUCCUGCUGCAUGGUGGGGGUUGGAAAGUUUCGGCGGUUGGGGAUGGACUCGCGGCUUAUCAGCUUGUUGGUGGGGUAGUGGCUUACCAAGGCUUUGACGGGUAGCCGGCCUGAGAGGGUGACCGGCCACAUUGGGACUGAGAUACGGCCCAGACGCCUACGGGAGGCAGCAGUGGGGAAUAUUGCACAAUGGGCGGAAGCCUGAUGCAGCAACGCCGCGUGCGGGAUGACGGCCUUCGGGUUGUAAACCGCUUUCGCCUGUGACGAAGCGUGAGUGACGGUAAUGGGUAAAGAAGCACCGGCUAACUACGUG
rnacentral:rRNA from 1 species